AGUUGAUCUGCAGCCAAUCAGAGGGGCUCACACCAGUCCAUCUCCACUGACAUAAAGGCACGCAGCUGUUUCGCAUUUCAAAGCAGCACUUCCUUCCACUUAGCACUUCGCUUAACAACUGAAAGAAGAAAACAACCAUGGGAAACGGCCCUUCUGCCCCGACAGGAAACCCAGGAGGUUUUAUGGCUCAUAUACCCCCUGCUGGGGCGACAAUUGGUUAUCCCCAACCGACACCUGAACUACUUCCCCCCAGCACCGGACUGACACUAUUACCAGGUCCACCGCCAAACAAUCCUAGUCCACCAUCGAUGAUGACCCCGAGGUUUUCCCCUUGAAGCCAUGGCUGCUGUGCAUUAAGCCACUGUUUUUCUUCCUGAUGUCUCUUUUAUAUUGAAUCCAAAGUAGGGAAUGAGCGGUGAAAUGAAUGUGUUAUAAUACACAUGAAAACAAAUAUGCCAUCUUAAUAAUGAGUAAGGAUUACCUGGAGUGAAGAAAUAUGUACCGGUAAUGCUGUGUAUUUGAAGUCAUGCUUUUUUGUGUGUGGAGCCAAGGAGUAAAUAAAAUGGCACUUCUAA